UAUUUCUACACCGUUAAACUUGCAAACGGCUCACUACGGCCAUUGAAAUUUGCUGAUUUUGAGCCCAUUCGAUCACUAGGCAAAUGAUAUCGAAAAAUAAUAAAAUUUAUUUUCUAGGUACUCAAAAUACUUUAGAUCAAGUUUAACGGAGCUGAUCGACGAUUCGAAAGUCGCAAUAUCGAAAAUGUGCUGGAAGCACGGAAGGCUCCGUGCUUCCGAUAGCAUAGUAGCCUCACUCUAUAUAUAUAUAUAUAUAUAUAUAUAUAUC
rnacentral:lncRNA from 1 species